ensembl:lncRNA CLMAT3 colorectal liver metastasis associated transcript 3
UACGGAAACCAUCCAGAUGCUUCCAUGUGUUGCAGAGGGGAUGUUAGCUGAGAUCUAGAAAAUACCUCUGUUCUGGGUGUUUUCAUAAUCCAGCACCCCACUGGGGGCUCAAGUCACAUAUUUCUGCCCAAUAGUACAGAUGAGAAGACCAAGGCCUAGAGGAAAGGAGAAAACUGCCAACGGCUAACAGCAAAGACAGCUGAAUGGUUCCAGUCUUUCAGUCCUGCUCCUGGCCAACACUGGACCUCUCAAAGUCUAGCCAACUCCUCUUCCAGCGCCUUGAUAAACAACCCCCUCAUGCUGGGAACCACAGCAGUGGGCUGUUUUUCUCCCUCAUGCACCCCAGGAAGCCUCUCCUCUUUGCCUGGGCUUUCUUCCCAAGGCCUUAGCUGCCAACCCAUUUUACACCC